UACGGAGGGUGCGAGCGUUGUCCGGAAUCAUUGGGCGUAAAGGGCGCGUAGGUGGCCCGGUCAGUUCGUGGUGAAAGCGCGGGGCUCAACCCUGCGUCGGCCAUGAAUACUGCCGCGGCUGGAGCACUGUAGAGGCAGGCGGAAUUCCGGGUGUAGCGGUGGAAUGCGUAGAGAUCCGGAAGAACACCGGUGGCGAAGGCGGCCUGCUGGGCCAGUUGCUGGACACUGAGGCGCGACAGCGUGGGGAGCAACAGGG
rnacentral:rRNA from 1 species